rnacentral:rRNA from 1 species
GACGAACGCUGGAGGCGUGCUUAACACAUGCAAGUCGAACGAUGAAAUGGAGCUUGCUCCAUGGAUUAGUGGCGAACGGGUGAAUAACACGUGAAUAACCUGCCCUUAAUUUUGGAAUAACCCAGGGAAACCUGGGCUAAUACCGGAUAAGUAAACCUGUGGCAUCACAUGGUUUUGGAAAGUUUUUCGAUUAAGGAUGGAUUCGCGGCCUAUCAGCUUGUUGGUGAGGUAAUGGCUCACCAAGGCGACGACGGGUAGCCGGCCUGAGAGGGUGAACGGCCACACUGGGACUGAGACACGGCCCAGACUCCUACGGGAGGCAGCAGUGGGGAAUAUUGCGCAAGGGACGAAAGUCUGACGCAGCGACGCCUCGUGAGGGACGAAGGUCUUCGGAUUGCAAACCUCUUUCAGCAGGGACGAAGCGAAAGUGACGGUACCUGCAGAAGAAGCACCGGCUAACUAUGUGCCAGCCGCCGCCGUAA